rnacentral:piRNA from 1 species
UGUCACUUCAAUGGCGUGCCAACCUCC